rnacentral:rRNA from 1 species
UACGAAGGGGGCUAGCGUUGUUCGGAAUUACUGGGCGUAAAGGGCGCGUAGGCGGCCCGCUAAGUCGAACGUGAAAUCCCCGACGCUCAACUCGGGAACUGCGUCCGAUACUGGCGGGCUUGAAUCCGGGAGAGGGGAUGCGGAAUUCCAGGUGUAGCGGUGAAAUGACGUAGAUAUCUGGAGGAACACCGGUGGCGAAGGCGGCAUCCUGGACCGGCAUUGACGCUGAGGCGCGAAAGCUAGGGGAGCAAACGGGG